rnacentral:rRNA from 1 species
CCUACGGGUGGCAGCAGUGGGGAAUAUUGCACAAUGGGCGAAACCCUGAUGCAGCAACGCCGCGUGGGUGAAGAAGUACUUCGGUUUGUAAAGCCCUGUCAGCAGGGAAGAAAAUGACGGUACGUGACCAAGAAGCCCCGGCUAACUACGUGCCAGCAGCCGCGGUAAUACGUAGGGGGCAAGCGUUAUCCGGAUUUACUGGGGGGAAAGGGAGCGUAGGUGGGUGGGCAAGUCUGGAGUGAAGGCCCUAGGCCUAACCCCGGGAGUGCAUUGGAAACUGGGUGGCUGGAGUGCAGGAGGGGUGAGUGGAAUUCCUAGUGUAGCGGUGAAAUGCGUAGAUAUUAGGAGGAACACCAGUGGCGAAGGCGGCUUACUGGACUGUAACUGACGCUGAGGCUCGAAGGCGUGGGGAGCAAACAGGAUUAGAUACCCGUGUAGUC